AAUUUUAUUAAUCCACGUCUAUGUGCCCAAUCUCGUCUGAUCUUGGAAGCUAAGCAGAGUUGGGCCUGGUAAGUACUUGCAUGGGGGACCACCUAGGAAUACCAGAUGCUGUAGGUA
rnacentral:rRNA from 1 species